rnacentral:lncRNA from 1 species
UCGUUUGUCUUAUUUUCUCUUUGACUUGGUGGAACAUUCUCCUAAUGUCUUCUUCAGUUUUCUUGGUCUCUCAGAAGAACAUCCACAGCCCGUGGGUAAAGUAAACCUCCUCAAAUGGCUUAUCCAUUGGGAUCCUUAGAAUCCUCUUUGUGAACUUAUCCAUCUCCUUAUCAUUAGCUCAUCUCUUCAGAUGCUUAGGAACCUUUUCCUAUCACUUCCUCAAGGUUCGUCUCACAGUAGCCUGAUCAACUAGCAUAGGCUCUAGUGCAUCUUCAGGUUGCUCACUAAUAUUGUCUGUUGAU